UACGUAGGGACCAAGCGUUGUUCGGAUUUACUGGGCGUAAAGGGCGCGUAGGCGGCAUGACAAGUCACUUGUGAAAUCUCCGGGCUUAACUCGGAACGGUCAAGUGAUACUGUUGUGCUAGAGUGCGGAAGGGGCAACUGGAAUUCUCGGUGUAGCGGUGAAAUGCGUAGAUAUCGAGAGGAACACCUGCGGCGAAGGCGGGUUGCUGGGCCGACACUGACGCUGAUGCGCGAAGGCCAGGGGAGCGAACGGG
rnacentral:rRNA from 1 species